AUAGUGUAUUGUUACUUACAGAUUUUAAAGGUGUAUACACCUUGUGUAAAGGUGUUUACAAGUGUAUAGACAUGAGGCAAUGGCUUUUAAUUUUAUUUUUUAAAAAUUUGUUUUAUUUAUAUAAUGGUAAUAUGGCAAAUAACAGUUAUUUUUAUUAAUUUGACUUUAAUAUUGGUGUAUCUUUAAAUCAGCCAGUGGAUGAUGGAAUCCAAAAUCAAAGCAACCCACAACACCCUUUUGUGGUAUUGACUCUGAAACUACUGUCCCAUACUUAAAAUACCGAAAAUACCGAAAAUUUAUCGGUUUGGUAAUAUGAUGGUUAGUGUAAUACCAUAUUAUUAGGUGAAGCUGAGCUUUGAGAAAAACAAAUUAGCUAGUUUUUAUUAGUCCACUUAAAAGUUAAAAUACUCUACUAUUUUUAACUGAUUGAUAGUUUAUAACAAACACUUCAGUACAUUACUUUCAUUAGUUCAGUUCAAUAUUGUGUAAGGCAAUGUCAAAUUAUAUGGAAAUAAUUAACUUA